rnacentral:snRNA from 1 species
UUACUUACCUGGAUGGGGUCGAUGGAUGAUCAUAAAGCUCCAUGGCCUAGGCAAGUGACCUCCAUUGCACUUAGGAGGGGUGCUUGCCUAAGGUCUACCCAAGUGGUGGAGCCUACAUCAUAAUUUGUUGUUGUGGGGGCCUGCGUUCGUGCGGCCCCUCC